rnacentral:lncRNA from 1 species
UGGAGGGAGUGGUAACUGACUGCAGAUUUGAGAAAACUGAGUCCUAAGCCAGCAGUGGGAAAAAGCAGCCUGGUUUAUACCAUGGAACCUCCAAAAGUCUCUGGAAGUGGUGUUAUACAUACAUUGUUUUUCAGAAACCCAGACCUCCACCAAGCAGAUCCACUGGCACACAGACCUCAGAUAAAGGGCAAUGAAGACUGAAUU